ACGCGGGAUGAGUGCGGGGGAGGGGUUCUGUGUCUGUCAUCCACUUUUUCCAUCUCUUGCAGAAAAGCAGUUUUGUUUUGCUUUUGUUUUUUUCAAACUUACUUGAUUUGAUUGUGUCCAACGAUACUUUCUAAUCGCUAGAGAUGAAGUGAACACCUCAGAUUUUCUUGCCGCAAAAUCCUUCAAAACUCAACAUAAACGUGAAAUCUUACCUUCUCGUGAUUAGGUGACGCUUCUCGGUUGGUUCGAUGAAUGAUAUGGUAAAAUCUCCUUGCAGGCUAUGAUCAACCCGCUGCACUUCCAUUAAUCACCACAAGAGGACGCCAAAACCGCAAUAAAGCCUGCAGGUUUAGUCGGAGACAUACUGAGGGAGGGGCCGUGGGUAUGGUCUGCAGUGAAUGCAGUAGAAAUCUUCAAUGUGUAGGAGAGGUUUGACCCUAAAGAGGACAAUGCCAGGCGACAAGAUGUAUUUCUGUGUCUGAAGUCAUACAUAGCCUAAACAGCCCCAGAUGCCAACCCCCAUCAACCCAGCCCAGAUACAGACCGCAUAUAAGGUCAAGCAUGAAGUUCAAGAGAGAGACCUGCAUCCAGCAUCCUCACAAGGAAUCCACAGAAGACGCCCAAAAUGCUUUGCUCUAGAGUGGUCAUGUUAGUACUGGCUCUGCACUGGUUGAUGGAAGAGAUAUCUGCUGCUGCCUUGAUGAAUAGAAACAAAAGAGAACUCAACUUGCAGGCUCUGGAGACUUUACCACAGCUACACUUGGAAGGGGAACUAUCCACAGGUGACAAAGUAGAGAUGGAGAGAGAUAAUAAUAAUGGACCCACACAGAUUCAGACUCCUCUUGCUCCAACCCAACAGCCUUCAACCCGGAACCAGUUUCAAUACAUCCGCAAAAAAAAUGAAAAGAGAAGAAAAGUCAUUCCUCUUGACUCACUUGGCCGGUUUAAGAUCUGAGCACUGGUAAAACAGACAAGACCUGCCAAGAUGAGCCCUGCUGGGACAUCUUCAACCCUCAAGAAGACAAACUGCUACUUAUAGUUUGUAGUAUCUUUGCUUCCUGUCUUGUGAUUGGCUAAUAAAAAAAGAAAAGAAGGGCUCCCUCUAGUGGAGAUGGCCAACAGGAGAU